AAGCUCGUAGUUGAAUUUCGGGAUCAAUGCGUCGGUCGUGCCUUCGGUACGUACUAGCGUCAUUGAUUCCUCCCUUCUGAAGAACCGUAAUGUCAUUAAUUUGGUGUUACGGGGAAUCAGGACUGUUACCUUGAAAAAAUUAGAGUGUUUAAAGCAGGCUAACGCUUGAACACAUUAGCAUGGAAUAAUGAAAUAGGACGUUCGAACCUAUUUUGUUGGUUUCUAGGAUCGACGUAAUAAUUAAUAGGGAUAGUUGG
rnacentral:rRNA from 1 species